rnacentral:rRNA from 1 species
GAUGAACGCUGGCGGCGUGCUUAACACAUGCAAGUCGAACGGAAAGGCCCAAGCUUGCUUGGGUCCUCGAGUGGCGAACGGGUGAGUAACACGUGGGUGAUCUGCCCUGCACUUCGGGAUAAGCCUGGGAAACUGGGUCUAAUACCGGAUAGGACGAUGGUUUGGAUGCCAUUGUGGAAAGUUUUUUCGGUGUGGGAUGAGCUCGCGGCCUAUCAGCUUGUUGGUGGGGUAAUGGCCUACCAAGGCGUCGACGGGUAGCCGGCCUGAGAGGGUGUACGGCCACAUUGGGACUGAGAUACGGCCCAGACUCCUACGGGAGGCAGCAGUGGGGAAUAUUGCACAAUGGGCGCAAGCCUGAUGCAGCGACGCCGCGUGGGGGAUGACGGCCUUCGGGUUGUAAACUCCUUUCGCUAGGGACGAAGCGUUUUUGUGACGGUACCUGGAGAAGAAGCACCGGCUAACUACGUG